rnacentral:rRNA from 1 species
UACGUAGGUGGCAAGCGUUGUCCGGAAUUAUUGGGCGUAAAGCGCGCGCAGGUGGUUUCUUAAGUCUGAUGUGAAAGCCCACGGCUCAACCGUGGAGGGUCAUUGGAAACUGGGGGACUUGAGUACAGAAGAGAAGAGUGGAAUUCCACGUGUAGCGGUGAAAUGCGUAGGGAUGUGGAGGAAUACCAGUGGCGAAGGCGACUCUUUGGUCUGUAACUGACGCUGAGGCGCGAAAGCGUGGGGAGCAAACAGG